rnacentral:snoRNA from 1 species
UUACCCCCUUUCAAUUUGCCAAUAUUUAUUAAUCAUUUUCAAGUCAAAGGAAAUACCUUUUUUAAAACUCAACCAAACUGAGUGUUUCUCUCAUACCUGUCAGAAAAACAGAU